GACGAACGCUGGCGGCGUGCUUAACACAUGCAAGUCGAACGAAGUGGCGAACGGGUGAGUAACGCGUAAUCAACCUGCCCUUCAGAGGGGGUCAACAGUUGGAAACGACUGCUAAUACCGCAUACUGAAGGAGGGGAUUGCGUCUGAUUAGCUAGGUGGAGGGGUAACGGCCCACCAAGGCGAUGAGCAGUAGCCGGUCUGAGAGGGUGAACGGGCAAAGUGGGACUGAGAAACGGCCCAGACUCCUACGGGAGGCAGCAGUGGGGAAUUUUCCGCAAUGGACGAAAGUCUGACGGAGCAACGCCGCGUGAGUGAUGACGGCCUUCGGGGUGUAAAGCUCUGUUAAUCGGGACGCGGUACCGGAAUAGAAAGCCACGGCUAACUACGUGCCAGCAGCCGCGGUAAUAC
rnacentral:rRNA from 1 species